UACGUAGGGUGCAAGCGUUAAUCGGAAUUACUGGGCGUAAAGCGUGCGCAGGCGGUUUUGUAAGUCAGAUGUGAAAUCCCCGGGCUUAACCUGGGAACUGCGUUUGAAACUACAAGGCUAGAGUGUGGCAGAGGGGGGUGGAAUUCCACGUGUAGCAGUGAAAUGCGUAGAGAUGUGGAGGAACACCGAUGGCGAAGGCAGCCCCCUGGGUCAAGAUUGACGCUCAUGCACGAAAGCGUGGGGAGCAAACAGGAUA
rnacentral:rRNA from 1 species